rnacentral:rRNA from 1 species
UACGAGGGGGGCAAGCGUUGUUCGGAAUUAUUGGGCGUAAAGGGUGCGUAGGCGGCGCGGUAUGUCUCUUGUGAAAUCUCCAGGCUCAACUUGGAGUCUGCAAGGGAAACUGCCGUGCUUGAGUACUGGAGAGGUGAGUGGAAUUCCCGGGUGUAGCGGUGAAAUGCGUAGAUAUCGGGGAGGAACACCUGUGGCGAAAGCGGCUCACUGGACAGUAACUGACGCUGAUGCACGAAAGCUAGGGGAGCAAACAGG